rnacentral:rRNA from 1 species
UACGUAGGGUGCAAGCGUUGUCCGGAAUUAUUGGGCGUAAAGAGCUCGUAGGCGGUUUGUCGCGUCGGCUGUGAAAGCCCGGAGCUCAACUCCGGGUCUGCAGUCGAUACGGGCAGACUUGAGUGUUGCAGGGGAGACUGGAAUUCCUGGUGUAGCGGUGAAAUGCGCAGAUAUCAGGAGGAACACCGGUGGCGAAGGCGGGUCUCUGGGCAACAACUGACGCUGAGGAGCGAAAGCGUGGGGAGCGAACGGG